GAUGAACGCUGGCGGCGUGCCUAAUACAUGCAAGUCGAGCGAACAGACGAGGAGCUUGCUCCUCUGACGUUAGCGGCGGACGGGUGAGUAACACGUGGAUAACCUACCUAUAAGACUGGGAUAACUUCGGGAAACCGGAGCUAAUACCGGAUAAUAUAUUGAACCGCAUGGUUCAAUAGUGAAAGACGGUUUUGCUGUCACUUAUAGAUGGAUCCGCGCCGCAUUAGCUAGUUGGUAAGGUAACGGCUUACCAAGGCAACGAUGCGUAGCCGACCUGAGAGGGUGAUCGGCCACACUGGAACUGAGACACGGCCCAGACUCCUACGGGAGGCAGCAGUAGGGAAUUUUCCGCAAUGGGCGAAAGCCUGACGGAGCAACGCCGCGUGAGUGAUGAAGGUCUUCGGAUCGUAAAACUCUGUUAUUAGGGAAGAACAAAUGUGUAAGUAACUAUGCACGUCUUGACGGUACCUAAUCAGAAAGCAACGGCUAACUACGUG
rnacentral:rRNA from 1 species